UCUCCGUAGGUGAACCUGCGGAGGGAUCAUUACAGAGUUCAUGCCCUACCGGGUAGAUCUCCCACCCUAUGUUAUUAUUACUUUGUUGCUUUGGCGGGCCGUUAGGCUCCGGCCCGACUACCGGCCCCGGCUGGUAAGCGCCCGCCAGAGGACCCAAAACCCUGAAUAUUAGUGUCGUCUGAGUACUAUAUAAUAGUUUAAACUUUCAACAACGGAUCUCUUGGUUCUG
rnacentral:misc_RNA from 1 species